rnacentral:rRNA from 1 species
UACAGAGGUCUCAAGCGUUGUUCGGAAUCACUGGGCGUAAAGCGUGCGUAGGCUGUUUCGUAAGUCGUGUGUGAAAGGCGCGGGCUCAACCCGCGGACGGCACAUGAUACUGCGAGACUAGAGUGUGUCAGAGGGAGGUGGAAUUCCACGUGUAGCAGUGAAAUGCGUAGAUAUCGAGAGGAACACUCGUGGCGAAGGCGGGUUCCUGGACAUUAACUGACGCUGAGGCACGAAGGCCAGGGGAGCGAAAGGG